UGAGUAACGGCGAGCGAAAGGGAAGAGUCCAGCGCCGAAUCCCGCGCUCUCUGGGCGUCGGGAAAUGUGGCGUUUGGGAGUGAGCGUGCCGGGAGUCUCUGGCCCUGCAGCAAGUCCCCCUGACCGGGGCUCUUUCCCAGAGUGGGUGCGAGGCCCAUAGCUGCUAGGCCACUCUCGGAUGCGAACUCCUCGGAGUCGGGUUGCUUGGGAGUGCAGCCCUAAUCGGGUGGUAAACUCCACCUAAGACUAAAUACUGCCGUGAGACCGAUAGCAAACAAGUACCGUGAGGGAAAGUUGCAAAGAACUUUGAAGAGAGAGUUCAAGAGUACGUGAAACUGCUCAGAGGAAAACGGGUGGGCCCUCGAAAUCCUGUGGCGGGAGGAUUCAGUCGAGAGGUUCCGGAGGACGGACCGGGGAGUUGACAGAAUGGUUACCCGCGACCGGGCCACCUCGGACCGUCCCUUUCGGAUCGAUCGACGCAUUUCUUUCCCGCUCGAAGGACGCCGCAACGGGUUGGCGGAACGGCCUUAAGGACGGGAGCCGGCAGGUGGCCGGUGGGUUCUUUUCCAGCGAUGGGGGACCCGCCGGUUGUUAGCCUUUCCGUCGCACGGUCGAACCCCGACCCUGGUGUCGCGAGGCCCCCAUGGGCCUCUCCGCCUCCUCCUCCCAAGGACAGCGAGCGGACGCGGCAGGUGAGGCGCGGAACUCCGCGGGCGCAUGGACUCACUCCAUGGCCCGGCGGGUCCGAGUCCCCGUUGGCUGCGCGUGGCUCGUCGGAGCGC
rnacentral:rRNA from 1 species